rnacentral:rRNA from 1 species
GAUGAACGCUAGCUACAGGCUUAACACAUGCAAGUCGAGGGGUAACGAUAGGAAAGCUUGCUUUCCUUGUCGACGACCGGCGCACGGGUGAGUAACGCUUAUCCAACCUGCCCCCAACUAAGGAAUAACCUUGCGAAAGUAAGACUAAUACCUUAUACUUUCCUCAGAUGUCAUCUGACGAGGAAUAAAGAUUUAUCGGUUGUGUAUGGGGAUGCGUCUGAUUAGCUUGUUGGCGGGGUAACGGCCCACCAAGGCAACGAUCAGUAGGGGUUCUGGGAGGAAGGUCCCCCACAUUGGAACUGAGACACGGUCCAAACUCCUACGGGAGGCAGCAGUGAGGAAUAUUGGUCAAUGGGCGGAAGCCUGAACCAGCCAAGUAGCGUGCAGGAUGACGGCCCUAUGGGUUGUAAACUGCUUUUAUACAGGAAUAAAGUUAGCCACGUGUGGUUAUUUGUAGGUACUGUAUGAAUAAGGACCGGCUAAUUCCGUGCCAGCCGCCGCGGUAA